UACACACACAUUUGAUAUUUUGGUUAUGAGAUUUGAUAGAAACAAAGCUUCAUUGGACAUCUAUAUGUGUUUGUAAAUGGCAGUCAAUGAGGCAUGACCUGGGCUCAUGACGAAAAUGAUUUUCUAUUGGACAUAUCACAAAUUUCGAUCAAUGAGUUUGAAGAGACUUUCAGGGCUCAUAUUACAUGUUGAGAACAAACUUGCUAGAUGGGUGUACUUUGAGAUAAUCACUACAUGCAUAUGAAUCAUUUCUCCUUGAAAUAACAAACAAGAGUUGUUCAAUCAUAUUGUUCGAGACUCCUCCCCACCUCCUUCCCCUCCGGCUAAAACACUAGCUUUCGAGGUUGCCCCUCCAGCAGUUGCACCGCCCAUUAUGGCUGGACCUCAGGCUGAUGCACCAACUUUCAUGGCUACCCCUCCAGCACCACCGCACACUGCUCCUCCUAUAGUUACCCCUCUAGCACCACUUCUCCUUGUUACUAAAAACAAAGUUUUAGUUUCCUCCAAUAUUUUAUUCUAAAAUUGACUUUACUCUUGUGCAUUUGUGUUUCAA
rnacentral:sRNA from 1 species